CAACUGCUGGCAGCCACUGAGAAAUCCAGUGACUUCUCCCUCCUUUCCCUUCUAGAUCCAGGAAAAUCCUGGCUGGUACCCACCUGGACUGUGACCUCGUGGGAAAGGCAGCAAAUCCACCCUACAGUCCAUGUUUCAUGUGAUUAUCUUGGGAUCUCAUCUGGAACCUAG
rnacentral:lncRNA from 14 species